rnacentral:lncRNA from 1 species
UGUCCCUCUUUUCCUUCCAGCUGACCUAUGACUAUCAGUUUGAUUUUGAGGAUGAUCAGCACAAGAUCCCCUGUCACUGUGGAGCCUGGAACUGUAGGAAAUGGAUGAACUAAGAAGCUUUGAGGCUACCAGGCAGGGGAGUCCCCACUCCUGCCUCUUCCCUGAAAGGGAGGAGGGGGAAGAGAGGUAGCAGCCAGAGCCAGGACCCAGGGCUGGGGCUGCCGGCUGACCGGAGCCCCUGGAGCAGGAGGCUGGGGAUGGAGAACCCUAGGCCAAGCCUACCCUGGGCACCAGGGACAACCUUCUUCCCUGCCACCGGCCCUUAGGCUGGCAUCUGCCCCCAGUUCCAGGAGGGGACAGACAGAAGCAGCCACUGGGCAUCUCAGGUUUGAGGGGGAUAUGGGCCGGGACUACCCAGAAGUGUCAGGGAGCAGGAGGGGUGUGCAGCCGGGCCUCACAGCCCUGCUGCCUCCACCAACCUCGCUGGCCCAACUCACGGCUGCAAAGAGACUUGACUAAGCUUGACAAUCCCAAAGGCCGGGUCCCACACCUGGCCCUGCCUGCCGGGUCCUGCCCCUACCCUCACCCCCACCCCUUCCUCUCUGUCUCUGUCCCCCUCUUUUCCUCUGUGUUUCUGUCUCUCUAUGGGUUGUGUUUCCUUGUUUUCCACUCUGACAAAUGCAACAUGACGGGAAAGAGGCAUCCAGAUGCCCAGGAGGGCAAGCCGGGCAAGCCGGGCAAGGAGACCCCGCACCCACACCUACCUCAUUUAAGUGUUGGAUUUUUUGCUGUUUUGAAAUGUGAGACCCUCUCCGAGCCCCCUACUGCCCCGACUCUCUCCCCCACCUCACUGCCCUCUUCUAGUGGGUGGAAGGGGGGGUAGGAGAAGGACAACAACAACAAUAACAACAACAAAAAUCCAUCUUUGUUUUUAAUUAUGGGCGUGGGAUGUCGGCUGAGGCAAAUGGUGAUGAAGAUUGGGGUAACUGGUCUCUAGUUGCUCUAGGACCUCCUUCUCCAUCUGGACAUGGAGGCAGGAGGGGUGUGCUAAACCUAGGACCAGGAUCUCACUCUCCUGUUUUCCCAGCCUCAUCCUGAGCCCGUCUGCCCUCCAGCCCCUGGACGGGGUGUGGGGGGUAGGGUGAGGGCUAUCCCUG